rnacentral:rRNA from 1 species
GACGAACGCUGGCGGCGUGCCUAAUACAUGCCAGUAGAACGCACAGUUUAUACCGUAGCUUGCUACACCAUAGACUGUGAGUUGCGAACGGGUGAGUAACGCGUAGGUAACCUGCCUGGUAGCGGGGGAUAACUAUUGGAAACGAUAGCUAAUACCGCAUAAUAUUAAUUAUUGCAUGAUAAUUAAUUGAAAGGUGCAAUUGCACCACUACCAGAUGGACCUGCGUUGUAUUAGCUAGUAGGUGAGGUAACGGCUCACCUAGGCGACGAUACAUAGCCGACCUGGGAGGGGGAUCGGCCACACUGGGACUGAGGCACGGCCCAGAACCCUACGGGAGGCAGCAGUAGGGAAUCUUCGGCAAUGGACGAAAGUCUGACCGAGCAACGCCGCGGGAGUGAAGAAGGUUUUCGGAUCGUAAAGCUCUGUUGUAAGAGAAGAACGGGUGUGAGAGUGGAAAGUUCACACUGUGACGGUAUCUUACCAGAAAGGGACGGCUAACUACGUG